UACGUAGGUGGCGAGCGUUGUCCGGAUUUACUGGGCGUAAAGGGAGCGUAGGCGGACUUUUAAGUGAGAUGUGAAAUACUCGGGCUCAACCUGGGUGUUGCAUUUCAAACUGGAAGUCUAGAGUGCAGGAGAGGAGAGUGGAAUUCCUAGUGUAGCGGUGAAAUGCGUAGAGAUUAGGAAGAACAUCAGUGGCGAAGGCGACUCUCUGGACUGUAACUGAUGCUGAGGCUCGAAAGCGUGGGGAGCAAACAGG
rnacentral:rRNA from 1 species